rnacentral:rRNA from 1 species
UACAGAGGUCCCAAGCGUUGUUCGGAUUCAUUGGGCGUAAAGGGUGUGUAGGUGGCGCCGUAAGUCGGGUGUGAAAUCUCGGGGCUUAACUCCGAAACUGCAUUCGAUACUGCGGUGCUUGAGGACUGGAGAGGAGACUGGAAUUCAUGGUGUAGCAGUGAAAUGCGUAGAGAUCAUGAGGAAGACCAGUGGCGAAGGCGGGUCUCUGGACAGUUCCUGACACUGAGACACGAAGGCCAGGGGAGCAAACAGG